rnacentral:rRNA from 1 species
UACGUAGGGACCAAGCGUUGUCCGGAAUCAUUGGGCGUAAAGCGCGCGUAGGCGGCCCGGUAAGUCCGUUGUAAAAGUCGAAGGCUCAACCUUCGAAAGCCGAUGGAUACUGCCGGGCUAGAGUACGGAAGAGGCGAGUAGAAUUCCUGGUGUAGCGGUGAAAUGCGCAGAUAUCAGGAGGAACACCGGUGGCGAAGGCGGUUCUCUAGUACGGUACUGACGCUGAGACGCGAAAGCGUGGGGAGCGAACAGG